GAUUCCACGACUCUGUUCGUCUUCCUCGCCAGGUCGCCCCAUAGAUCUCUCCCCCACCACGACUCCGCUCGGUUCCUCUUCGUCCAUGGCCACCGCUUGCAAAGGGAACGGGUAUGCUCUGCCAAUCCCCGCAUUCAACGCAAUAAAUCCGUCCUUGAAGAUAAUAGAAACUGCUCGGAGAAUUUGUGAUCUUGGUGUUCGUAUGCUUUAUUUCCUGCGCCGCCACGACCUACGUCCUCCCGCAAGUCCCGAGCACAAUAACGCCCGUGGCGACCUAAGAGCUCCCAACAUUCAUCGAGCAUUAUUGCCAUGCUAAUGCGCAAGAAACUACUCGGAACUGGUGAUUCGCCGUCUCCAUGUUUAAAAACAAGAGCUCUGUUGCCAUGUUCAUCCAGCACGUCUGCCCCUCUCCAUCUUGCCACUGCCCUCCAGUCUGGUUCUAUUCCGGCUUCGGGAGCUGAUCGGCAUUCUCUCUCCCCUUGAUUUGAUUGGAUUUUCUUUGGAUCUGCAUACUCCUCACACAAAUCAGCCCCGUUUUGAUUGGAUCCAGCGUCCUGUUCGAUCAAGAAAGGAGGAAUAGGUUCUCAUCCGGAUAUUGGACAACACUAGCUGCUUCCGUUGGUCGGCUAGAUAUAUAAAGAACACAACAUGCUUCCUUUUACAUCAAUUAUUGCGUGUGUGCUUUGCAAAGAUGGACAACCCCUGAAAAUUCUUUGAGGCCUCCUGGAAUUGUCUUCCAGUAGUAAGGUAAUGUACACAAUGACCCAAAGUCGGAAACAUCUUCAAUUCUAGAAUGGAAGUUUGAUCUUUAUUCCGGAAAUAGUGUAUCAAUGUGAUGCCUCCUAGAAGUUACUAAGGUAUGUACUAGCUUUGUUUGAUACUAUACAUUAAAGCCUUUAUUUUAUUUUCAAGAAAGAAGCUCCUUUAUUUGGGUCAGAUUUGUUUAAAUGACAAAGCAGAUAUUCGUGAUUCGUGAUUCAUGUAUGCAUAUGUUCAAUGAUACCACUCUGACGGUGAGUAAUCAUGGACAUUGAAAGCACACUAGGAUCUGUUCAUCAGUUUGAAUACAUCAAACAUGGUUAUUUGUAUGGCUACCCACUGGAUUCACGAGUGAUUCUUUCUGGAGACGGUCGCACGGGAUAUCUACAACCUGAUUGGGUGGUGGCUUCAAUGAUAAAUAGACGGCACUUUUUAUUUUUUGGCUGUUUUUAUAUACACUUUUUGUGAUCCAUAAGAUGUAAAAUUUGAAUAUCUGAAAUUUGGCAUUAAAUAAGGUUGUGUG